rnacentral:rRNA from 1 species
CGGAGGGUGCAAGCGUUGUCCGGAUUUAUUGGGUUUAAAGGGUGCGUAGGCGGCCCGUUAAGUCAGUGGUGAAAGCCUCCAGCUCAACUGGAGAACUGCCAUUGAUACUGACGGGCUUGAGUACAGAUGAGGUUGGCGGAAUUGAUAGUGUAGCGGUGAAAUGCAUAGAUACUAUCAAGAACUCCGAUUGCGUAGGCAGCUAACUAGGCUGUAACUGACGCUGAGGCACGAAAGCGUGGGGAGCGAACAGGAUUAGAUACCCUGGUAGUCCACGCCGUAAACGAUGAUUACUCGAUGUCGGCGAUAAACUGUCGGCGUCUUAGCGAAAGCGUUAAGUAAUCCACCUGGGGAGUACGCCCGCAAGGGUG